GACGAACGCUGGCGGCGUGCUUAACACAUGCAAGUCGAACGGAAAGGCCCUGCUUUUGUGGGGUGCUCGAGUGGCGAACGGGUGAGUAACACGUGAGUAACCUGCCCUUGACUUUGGGAUAACUUCAGGAAACUGGGGCUAAUACCGGGUAGCAUCUCCUGCUGCAUGGUGGGGGUUGGAAAGUUUCGGCGGUUGGGGAUGGACUCGCGGCUUAUCAGCUUGUUGGUGGGGUAGUGGCUUACCAAGGCUUUGACGGGUAGCCGGCCUGAGAGGGUGACCGGCCACAUUAGGACUGAGAUACGGACCAGACUCCUACGGGAGGCAGCAGUGGGGAAUAUUGCACAAUGGGCGGAAGCCUGAUGCAGCAACGCCGCGUGCGGGAUGACGGCCUUCGGGUUGUAAACCGCUUUCGCCUGUGACGAAGCGUGAGUGACGGUAAUGGGUAAAGAAGCACCGGCUAACUACGUG
rnacentral:rRNA from 1 species